rnacentral:rRNA from 1 species
GGCGAACGGGUGAGUAAUACAUCGGAACGUGCCCAGUAGUGGGGGAUAACCAGUCGAAAGACUGGCUAAUACCGCAUACGAUCUACGGAUGAAAGCGGGGGACCGCAAGGCCUCGCGCUAUUGGAGCGGCCGAUGUCGGAUUAGCUAGUUGGCGGGGUAAGAGCCCACCAAGGCGACGAUCCGUAGCUGGUCUGAGAGGAUGACCAGCCACACUGGAACUGAGACACGGUCCAGACUCCUACGGGAGGCAGCAGUGGGGAAUUUUGGACAAUGGGCGCAAGCCUGAUCCAGCCAUGCCGCGUGAGUGAAGAAGGCCUUCGGGUUGUAAAGCUCUUUCGGCGGGGACGAAACGGUCCGGGCUAACACCACGGACUAAUGACGGUACUCGCAGAAGAAGCACCGGCUAACUACGUGCCAGCAGCCGCGGUAAUACGUAGGGUGCGGGCGUUAAUCGGAAUUACUGGGCGUAAAGCGUGCGUAGGCGGCUCCUUAAGUCAGAUGUGAAAGCCCCGGGCUUAACCUGGGAACUGCGUUUGAAACUGGGGA